rnacentral:rRNA from 1 species
UACGGAGGGUGCGAGCGUUGUCCGGAAUUAUUGGGCGUAAAGAGCUCGUAGGCGGUUUGUCGCGUCUGCUGUGAAAACCCGAGGCUCAACCUCGGGCCUGCAGUGGGUACGGGCAGACUAGAGUGCGGUAGGGGAGAUUGGAAUUCCUGGUGUAGCGGUGGAAUGCGCAGAUAUCAGGAGGAACACCAAUGGCGAAGGCAGAUCUCUGGGCCGUAACUGACGCUGAGGAGCGAAAGCAUGGGGAGCGAACAGG